CAGAUAUUUCUUUGGAUUUGUUCAGUAGCCAGUGACAGAUCCUGUUCUGGAAGCACAUCUCACUGUACUGCCCUGGGCUCCGGAAGACAGGCACCAGAGGGGAACACCACACCAAGCUGUUGGCAGCGUGCACACAGGAUUCCGGAACGUGAUGUGGAUUUUGAGACUGGAGUUUGCAGAAGAGUUUUCAGAAACUCUAUAACAAAGGCUACAAGCUACAAGCUGAAUUUAGAGGAGUUCAACAUGAAGACAAGGUAUGCUUUUCUUGCAUUUUUAUUUUUUUUAUAGGCAUACAUUAGUCAUUGGAACAGUUUUCCAGAGGAUGCAGUGGAUCUUUAUGGACUUCAAAUCUUUAAAUGCAGACAAAUUAUUACUUUGAAAAUAGCUGGGCUAUGUACGUGCAAGUUUUAAGGCAAAAUGAGGGAACUGCUGGAUGAGCU
rnacentral:lncRNA from 1 species